GAUUAAGUUAUUAAGGGCGCACGGUGGAUGCCUUGGCACUAGAAGCCGAUGAAGGACGUUACUAACGACGAUAUGCUUUGGGGAGCUGUAAGUAAGCUUUGAUCCAGAGAUUUCCGAAUGGGGAAACCCAGCAUGAGUUAUGUCAUGUUAUCGAUAUGUGAAUACAUAGCAUAUCAGAAGGCACACCCGGAGAACUGAAACAUCUUAGUACCCGGAGGAAGAGAAAGAAAAUUCGAUUCCCUUAGUAGCGGCGAGCGAAACGGGAAGAGCCCAAACCAACAAGCUUGCUUGUUGGGGUUGUAGGACACUCUAUACGGAGUUACAAAGGACGACAUUAGACGAAUCAUCUGGAAAGAUGAAUCAAAGAAGGUAAUAAUCCUGUAGUCGAAAAUGUUGUCUCUCUUGAGUGGAUCCUGAGUACGACGGAGCACGUGAAAUUCCGUCGGAAUCUGGGAGGACCAUCUCCUAAGGCUAAAUACUCUCUAGUGACCGAUAGUGAACCAGUACCGUGAGGGAAAGGUGAAAAGCACCCCGGAAGGGGAGUGAAAUAGAACCUGAAACCGUGUGCUUACAAGUAGUCAGAGCCCGUUAAUGGGUGAUGGCGUGCCUUUUGUAGAAUGAACCGGCGAGUUACGAUUUGAUGCAAGGUUAAGCAGUAAAUGUGGAGCCGUAGCGAAAGCGAGUCUGAAUAGGGCGUUUAGUAUUUGGUCGUAGACCCGAAACCAGGUGAUCUACCCUUGGUCAGGUUGAAGUUCAGGUAACACUGAAUGGAGGACCGAACCGACUUACGUUGAAAAGUGAGCGGAUGAACUGAGGGUAGCGGAGAAAUUCCAAUCGAACCUGGAGAUAGCUGGUUCUCUCCGAAAUAGCUUUAGGGCUAGCCUCAAGUGAUGAUUAUUGGAGGUAGAGCACUGUUUGGACGAGGGGCCCCUCUCGGGUUACCGAAUUCAGACAAACUCCGAAUGCCAAUUAAUUUAACUUGGGAGUCAGAACAUGGGUGAUAAGGUCCGUGUUCGAAAGGGAAACAGCCCAGACCACCAGCUAAGGUCCCAAAAUAUAUGUUAAGUGGAAAAGGAUGUGGCGUUGCCCAGACAACUAGGAUGUUGGCUUAGAAGCAGCCAUCAUUUAAAGAGUGCGUAAUAGCUCACUAGUCGAGUGACACUGCGCCGAAAAUGUACCGGGGCUAAACAUAUUACCGAAGCUGUGGAUUGUCCUUUGGACAAUGGUAGGAGAGCGUUCUAAGGGCGUUGAAGCAUGAUCGUAAGGACAUGUGGAGCGCUUAGAAGUGAGAAUGCCGGUGUGAGUAGCGAAAGACGGGUGAGAAUCCCGUCCACCGAUUGACUAAGGUUUCCAGAGGAAGGCUCGUCCGCUCUGGGUUAGUCGGGUCCUAAGCUGAGGCCGACAGGCGUAGGCGAUGGAUAACAGGUUGAUAUUCCUGUACCACCUAUAAUCGUUUUAAUCGAUGGGGGGACGCAGUAGGAUAGGCGAAGCGUGCGAUUGGAUUGCACGUCUAAGCAGUAAGGCUGAGUAUUAGGCAAAUCCGGUACUCGUUGNNNNNNNNNNNNNNNNNNNNNNNNNNNNNNNNNNNNNNNNNNNNNNNNNNNNNNNNNNNNNNNNNNNNNNNNNNNNNNNNNNNNNNNNNNNNNNNNGCUGUGAUGGGGAGAAGACAUUGUGUCUUCGAGUCGUUGAUUUCACACUGCCGAGAAAAGCCUCUAGAUAGAAAAUAGGUGCCCGUACCGCAAACCGACACAGGUAGUCAAGAUGAGAAUUCUAAGGUGAGCGAGCGAACUCUCGUUAAGGAACUCGGCAAAAUGACCCCGUAACUUCGGGAGAAGGGGUGCUCUUUAGGGUUAACGCCCAGAAGAGCCGCAGUGAAUAGGCCCAAGCGACUGUUUAUCAAAAACACAGGUCUCUGCUAAACCGUAAGGUGAUGUAUAGGGGCUGACGCCUGCCCGGUGCUGGAAGGUUAAGAGGAGUGGUUAGCUUCUGCGAAGCUACGAAUCGAAGCCCCAGUAAACGGCGGCCGUAACUAUAACGGUCCUAAGGUAGCGAAAUUCCUUGUCGGGUAAGUUCCGACCCGCACGAAAGGCGUAACGAUUUGGGCACUGUCUCAACGAGAGACUCGGUGAAAUCAUAGUACCUGUGAAGAUGCAGGUUACCCGCGACAGGACGGAAAGACCCCGUGGAGCUUUACUGUAGCCUGAUAUUGAAAUUCGGCACAGCUUGUACAGGAUAGGUAGGAGCCUUUGAAACGUGAGCGCUAGCUUACGUGGAGGCGCUGGUGGGAUACUACCCUAGCUGUGUUGGCUUUCUAACCCGCACCACUUAUCGUGGUGGGAGACAGUGUCAGGCGGGCAGUUUGACUGGGGCGGUCGCCUCCUAAAAGGUAACGGAGGCGCUCAAAGGUUCCCUCAGAAUGGUUGGAAAUCAUUCAUAGAGUGUAAAGGCAUAAGGGAGCUUGACUGCGAGACCUACAAGUCGAGCAGGGUCGAAAGACGGACUUAGUGAUCCGGUGGUUCCGCAUGGAAGGGCCAUCGCUCAACGGAUAAAAGCUACCCCGGGGAUAACAGGCUUAUCUCCCCCAAGAGUUCACAUCGACGGGGAGGUUUGGCACCUCGAUGUCGGCUCAUCGCAUCCUGGGGCUGUAGUCGGUCCCAAGGGUUGGGCUGUUCGCCCAUUAAAGCGGUACGCGAGCUGGGUUCAGAACGUCGUGAGACAGUUCGGUCCCUAUCCGUCGUGGGCGUAGGAAAUUUGAGAGGAGCUGUCCUUAGUACGAGAGGACCGGGAUGGACAUACCUCUGGUGUACCAGUUGUCGUGCCAACGGCAUAGCUGGGUAGCUAUGUGUGGACGGGAUAAGUGCUGAAAGCAUCUAAGCAUGAAGCCCCCCUCAAGAUGAGAUUUCCCAACUUCGGUUAUAAGAUCCCUCAAAGAUGAUGAGGUUAAUAGGUUCGAGGUGGAAGCAUGGUGACAUGUGGAGCUGACGAAUACUAAUCGAUCGAAGACUUAAUCAA
rnacentral:rRNA from 1 species